GGGACGGGGUGAAUAUCCCAAGGCGCGUGAGAGAACCCUGGUUAAGGAACUCUGCAAAUUGACACCGUAACUUCGGGAGAAGGUGUGCCGCUGGCGGUUAGUGACUUCGCGUCACGAAGCUGUUGGUGGUCGCAGUGAAAUGGCGGUUGUGACUGUUUACUAAAAACACAGGACUCUGCGAAGUCGUAAGACGACGUAUAGGGUCUGAUGCCUGCCCGGUGCUGGAAGGUUAAGGGGAUAUGUCAGCGCAAGCGAAGCAUUGAACCGAAGCCCCAGUAAACGGCGGCCGUAACAAUAACGGUCCUAAGGUAGCGAAAUUCCUUGUCGGGUAAGUUCCGACCUGCACGAGGGCAUAACAACAUCCGCACUGUCUCGACCAGGGACUCAGCGAAAUUACAUUGGGGGUGAAGAUGCCCUCUACCCGCGGAAAGACGGAAAGACCCCAUGAACCUUUACUGCAACUUGGCAGUGAUUUUCGGGUUGUUCUGCGUAGGAUAGGUGGGAGGCUUUGAAGCCGGGCUUCCGGGUUCGGCAGAGCCAACGUUGAAAUACCACCCUGAAUAAUCUGGAAAUCUAACCUGCGCCCAUGAUCUGGGCGAGGGACACUGCCUGGUGGGCAGUUUGACUGGGGCGGUCGCCACCUAAAUUGUAACGGAGGCGUGCGACGGUUCCCUCAGGCUGAUUGGAAACCAGCCGUAGAGUGCAAACGCAUAAGGGAGCUUUACUGCGAGACUGACAAGUCGACCAGUUGCGAAAGCAGGUGUUAGUGAUCCGGUGGUACCACAUGGAAGGGCCAUCGCUCAUCGGAUAAAAGGUACUCUGGGGAUAACAGGCUGAUCGCGCCUGAGAGUUCACAUCGGCGGCGCGGUUUGGCACCUCGAUGUCGGCUCAUCGCAUCCUGGGGCUGGAGCAGGUCCCAAGGGUUUGGCUGUUCGCCAAUUAAAGCGGUACGCGAGCUGGGUUUAAAACGUCGUGAGACAGUUUGGUCCCUAUCUUCCGUGGGCGCAGGACACUUGAGAGGAGCUAUCCAUAGUACGAGAGGACCUGGAUGGACGAACCUCUGGUGCUCCGGUUGUCACGCCAGUGGCAUAGCCGGGUAGCCAUGUUCGGAACAGAUAACCGCUGAAGGCAUAUAAGCGGGAAGCUGGCCUCAAGACUAGGUGUCCCUGACGCAAGUCACUAAAGGCCCCUCGAAGACUACGAGGUUGAUAGGCUCGGUGUGGAAGCACAGCGAUGUGCGGAGCUAACGAGUACUAAUAGGCCGUGCGGCUUGACCUC
rnacentral:rRNA from 1 species